GGAUGUGAGGGCAACCUGGCUGCCACAUCUGUCACCCCAUUGAUCUCCAGGGUUGAUUCGGCUGAUCUGGCAGGCUAGGCAGGUGUUCCUUCCUCCCUCACCACUCCAUGUGUGUCGCUCUGGAAGCUGUGCACUCGGUUGAAGAGGACGACCUUCCCCGAAUAGAGGACAGGUCUUUGGUCAAGGAUAUGCAAGUGGCUGCGCUCUCCUGCUAGAACCUCCAAACAUGCUCUCAAAUGUGUUAUUUUAAAUGCUUUCAAUCAGAAGUAUUCCUGUGCAUCCUAUUUCUGUCCCUAUAAACCUAUUUUAUA
rnacentral:snRNA from 1 species